AUUGAACGCUGGCGGCAUGCCUUACACAUGCAAGUCGAACGGCAGCACGGGAGCAAUCCUGGUGGCGAGUGGCGAACGGGUGAGUAAUAUAUCGGAACGUGCCCAGUCGUGGGGAUAACGUAGCGAAAGCUACGCUAAUACCGCAUACGAUCUAUGGAUGAAAGCGGGGGAUCGCAAGACCUCGCGCGAUUGGAGCGGCCGAUAUCAGAUUAGGUAGUUGGUGAGGUAAAGGCUCACCAAGCCGACGAUCUGUAGCUGGUCUGAGAGGACGACCAGCCACACUGGGACUGAGACACGGCCCAGACUCCUACGGGAGGCAGCAGUGGGGGAAUUUUUGGACAAUGGGCGCAAGCCUGAUCCAGCAAUGCCGCGUGCAGGAUGAAGGCCUUGGGUUGUUAAACGUGUCGUUUUGUUACGGGAAACGGUAAACCGGGUAGGACGGUACGUCCUAAA
rnacentral:rRNA from 1 species